GAACCGAUUGAAAAGGAAUGCAU
rnacentral:piRNA from 1 species